CCUACGGUGGGCAGCAGUGAGGAAUAUUGGUCAAUGGGCGCGAGCCUGAACCAGCCAAGUAGCGUGAAGGAUGACUGCCCUACGGGUUGUAACCUUCUUUUUUAAAGGAAUAAAGUGAGGCACGUGUGCCUUUUUGUAUGUACUUUAUGCAUAAGGAUCGGCUAACUCCGUGCCAGCAGCCGCGGUAAUACGGAGGAUCCGAGCUUUCUCCGGAUUUAUUGGGUUUAAAGGGAGCGUAGAUGGGUUGUUAAGUCAGUUGUGAAAGUUUGCGGCUCAACCGUAAAAUUGCAAUUGAUACUGGCAGCCUUGAGUACAGUUGAGGUAGGCGGAAUUCGUGGUGUAGCGGUGAAAUGCUUAGAUAUCACGAAGAACUCCGAUUGCGAAGGCAGCUUACUAAACUGCCACUGACAUUGAUGCUCGAAAGUGUGGGUAUCAAACAGGAUUAGAUACCCUUGUAGUC
rnacentral:rRNA from 1 species